CAGCAGCCACGGUAAUACGGAGGGUGCAAGCGUUAAUCGGAAUUACUGGGCGUAAAGCGCACGCAGGCGGUUUGUUAAGUCAGAUGUGAAAUCCCCGAGCUUAACUUGGGAACUGCAUUUGAAACUGGCAAGCUAGAGUCUUGUAGAGGGGGGUAGAAUUCCAGGUGUAGCGGUGAAAUGCGUAGAGAUCUGGAGGAAUACCGGUGGCGAAGGCGGCCCCCUGGACAAAGACUGACGCUCAGGUGCGAAAGCGUGGGGAGCAAACAGGAUUAGAUACCCGAGUAGUCCCUGUCUCUUAUAA
rnacentral:rRNA from 1 species